rnacentral:lncRNA from 1 species
CUCCCUCUCUCCCUCCCUUCCUACUAAAAACCAAUAAGGCUAGGGAGCCUAUCUGCAUAGUUCUGUGAAUGUCUCGGAACAAAGCAAUACACAGAAGCUAAUGCUCUCAUCCUGUGUAAGAUACAAAUCUUGUCACAUCAUGGACCAUCGUGGAGCAUGAAGCUAUUUCUAAUGUGAUGGGGGAAAUGUUUCUAGCAGAAGAGCAAGACAUGGUCCUGGUGCAUGAAAGGAGCCUAAGAAAGAAGAGUGAAAGCUGCACGUGUGUGAGUAUCUAGCAGAACAUCUAGAAAAUGCACACCAACCUCCAGCAGCAGAAAACAGUCUACCUCCAGAAAGCCAUAAAAGAGAAAAGAAUGUUGUACCAAACUAAGCAAAUGAAGCAUGAAAUGAAAAGCCGGUUGAGCUGGGAGGUAUAAAGAAUGGAAAGGAAGCAGCUACCACCCCUGGUAACCCCAUCAAUCCGGAGAAGCUUCGCAGAGUUACACUGUGCUCUGUCGGGAAGGAAAUGAAUUUUCCUCAUUGUACACAUUCCGAGAAAAAUGAGGCUAAGACUAUUUCAAAGGAUGUUCUACCUAAUUCGAAUGGGCUUUAAGUGCCAUCUUCACAAUAGCGCCAGAGUCUGGUGUCAGCAAACUGAACAAAUAGAGCUACAGGGAGCGAAUGGGGCUGGGUGCCUCUCCAAAACAUAUGCAGAUGAACUUGAGAUUUCAGAGGACGGUUAAUCCUACACAGCAGUCAAGUGCCUUCCCAGGGGGCUCCCUUCCAAACACUGGCUGCCACGUCAAACCAAAGGGGACGAGCAAUCAGACUCACCUCAAACGCCAGUUAAGAAAGCCGGCCUUACUUAAGCAAUCAAGGGCAAGUGAUCAGCCAACUCUGCUUUCUUUCCUUUCUCUUGGAUCAUUUAUAGACCUUGUGGCCGUGGCCACCACAUUGAGAAGCCCUUGGUCUCUACUUGGACUCACUAUAGCAGAGCAUCCUGGCAGGCAUCCACUGUGCCAUAUGCUUUCGGGAAGUCUGGAUGCUGAAUGUGGUGGCUGUGGGGAAUUGAGCCUUAUUGCUUCAUAAGAUUCCUGGUGGUAGAACUAUUCUGAACAAGAACACGUCCGUCCCCAUAGGUGUGCUCCAAGAAUCACAGAAUAAGAAGGGACUUCGGAGAGAGCCUCACACAGUUGGGCAAUGGGAGCCCAGAGAGGCAAGGAAGGCUCCUUGCCCAAAGUCUUGUACAUCUGAAUCUGCAACUCCUGACUAUUUUUGAGUCUUAUGCUCCAGGCUAAAACUUGUGACUUUAAGUGUGAUGUUCUCGGUGAUGAUUAAUCUAGGAUGUUUCUGUUGUUUUCUUACCGUCAAAGAAUUAACAUCAAAAGGAAAGGAAGGAAGAAAUGUAGAAGUGAAGGCAAGAAGGAAGGAAGGAGGAAAGGAAGGAAGGAAAAUAUAGGCUUUGGGUAAAAAUAAGUUUCUACUCAACACUGACAAAGGUACAGGUUUUGGACAUUGGUUUCCUAAUCUGUAAAUGAGGAAUAGUCAUCACAUCGCUGUCCUGGCUGGUUUUGUGUGUCAACUUGACACAAGCUGGAGUUAUCACAGAGAAAGGAAAGAAAAUGCCUCCAUGAGAUCUAGCUGUAAAUGGAUUAGUGAUCAAGAGUGGGAGGGCCCAGUGUGGGUGGUGCCAUCCCUGGACUGGUGGUCCUGGGUUCUACAAGAAAACAAGCUGAGCAAGCCAGGGGAAGCAAGCCAGGGGAACAUCCCUCCACGGCUCUGCAUCAGCUCCUGCUUCCUGCCCUGUGUGAGUUCCAGUCCUGACUUCCUUUGGUGACGAACAGCAAUGUGAUAGUAUAAGCUGAAUAAACCCUUUCCUCCCCAAC